GAUAAAAUUAAGAAGUAUUUUGAUGGGAGAAUGAAUGUGGUUUGGGCAAGAAAUUAGGAGGAAUUCUCAAAAAUGGCCCUGAGUUUCUGUCAUAAGUAAUCGCAGUACCUGAGUGAAAUAAGAGACAUUUGUUGAGCUGAGUCAGUGUGGAGAAAGAAUUUAUUUAGGAACAUAAAAAGAUUAAGAGUUUAGUUGCUGAUAUACUAACUUUGAGAUGUCCAUUAGACAUUCAAGUAGAUGUGUCAGAUCUUGGCUGGAGAUAAAAUUUUUGGAAUUUUCAGCAUAGCCACAGAAGUGGAUGAGAUUCCUUGAGAAGAGAGUACAUGUUGAUAACAGGAGCACUAUGAGAAAGCCCUGAGGAAUGGGACUGAUGCAUGAGGUCAGUAAGUGGCUCCUCAGACUGGGGAGCAUUACUUCUUGAUCUAUAAGAGGUCACUGUAAAGAGAAGAGCAGUUGUCACCCUGUAGGGUAUACUCCAGCAAAACUAGGGACAGAAAAAGACAUGAGAUCCAGGCAAUAGAGGAUCCUACCCAGGAGGGUAACAAAAAGAAUUCCCCAGAUGGCAACUGUGCAAUAGGCAUAGAGAGCAGCCUGUCUAGUCUACAGCAGGAGGACAGAGCUCCUGGAGAGAUGUCUCCAUGUUGAAACAAUAAGAGAAGGUAAUGAGAUAAAUGAAGAGUCUGAUAUGAGAGUUUUGGAAAACAAUAAUCAAAGCAUAGGUAGAUGGCAGAUCUGAUGAGCUGUCUCAGCAAAAUUAAAGAACUAUAUUUACAUAGUCAGUAUAAUAUAAACUAAUUUCCAAUUAAAUUUUUAAAAUGAUAUGGGACAGGUGGGGGAUGGGAGAUUGUAUAAGAAUGCUAAAGGCAUGGGUCAUCAUAGAAAUAUAAUAGAUGACAUCUAAUUUUGACAGAAUAGGAAAUAUUAAAAGAAGCACAUUUGUUUAGAAAUAUGAGACAACUGGUGAGAUAGCUCAAGGAGUGAACUGAGGUUUCCUUUAGAGUGUGGAACUGGGUUUCAUUAUAAGUGUCAUGACUUUUUUUUUAACUAUGUGCAUUUAUCAGCUGAUGAAAAAACUGUUUUAACUUUUAAGUUCAGGGCUACUAAUGUAGGUUUGUUACACAGGUAAACUCAUGUCAUGGGGGUUUGUUGUAAAGAAUAUUUCAUCACCCAGGUAUUAAGCCUUUUACCCAUUGGUUAUUUUUCCUGAUCCUUGCCCUUUUCCCACUUUCUGAAAGGCCCCAAUGUGUGUUGUUCCCCUCUGUGUGUCCAUGUGUUCUCAUCAUUUAGC
rnacentral:lncRNA from 1 species